AUUGAACGCUGGCGGCAUGCCUUACACAUGCAAGUCGAACGGUAGCACGGGUGCUUGCACCUGGUGGCGAGUGGCGAACGGGUGAGUAAUACAUCGGAACAUGUCCUGUAGUGGGGGAUAGCCCGGCGAAAGCCGGAUUAAUACCGCAUACGAUCUACGGAUGAAAGCGGGGGACCUUCGGGCCUCGCGCUAUAGGGCUGGCCGAUGGCUGAUUAGCUAGUUGGUGGGGUAAAGGCCUACCAAGGCGACGAUCAGUAGCUGGUCUGAGAGGACGACCAGCCACACUGGGACUGAGACACGGCCCAGACUCCUACGGGAGGCAGCAGUGGGGAAUUUUGGACAAUGGGCGAAAGCCUGAUCCAGCAAUGCCGCGUGUGUGAAGAAGGCCUUCGGGUUGUAAAGCACUUUUGUCCGGAAAGAAAUCCUUGGCCCUAAUACGGUCGGGGGAUGACGGUACCGGAAGAAUAAGCACCGGCUAACUACGUG
rnacentral:rRNA from 1 species